UACGUAGGGUGCAAGCGUUACUCGGAAUUACUGGGCGUAAAGGGUGCGUAGGCGGGUCUUUAAGUCAGGGGUGAAAUCCUGGAGCUCAACUCCAGAACUGCCUUUGAUACUGAGGAUCUUGAGUUCGGGAGAGGUGAGUGGAACUGCGAGUGUAGAGGUGAAAUUCGUAGAUAUUCGCAAGAACACCAGUGGCGAAGGCGGCUCACUGGCCCGAUACUGACGCUGAGGCACGAAAGCGUGGGGAGCAAACAGG
rnacentral:rRNA from 1 species